rnacentral:lncRNA from 1 species
UCCUCUCUUCGUAGGCUAAUGCAUUGGCCCUUUUUGACCCGUUUUGGGGCGAAAACAAAAACUGACUCCCGGGCAUAUUUUUUUCGGCCUUUAUGGGCAGAGAACUUUAAUACCGCUCGAAAUGAGGCCACCCAGUAGUUAGGUGUGAAUUUUCGAGACCUUUGGCACCGUUCUAAGAUGGGUCCUCUCUUCGUAGGCUAAUGCAUUGGCCCUUUUUGACCCGUUUUGGGGCGAAAACAAAAACUGACUCCCGGGCAUAUUUUUUUCGGCCUUUAUGGGCAGAGAACUUUAAUACCGCUCAAAAUGAGGCCACCCAGUAGUUAGGUGUGAAUUUUCGAGACCUUUGGCACCGUUCUAAGAUGGGUCCUCUCUUCGUAGGCUAAUGCAUUGGCCCUUUUUGACCCGUUUUGGGGCGAAAACAAAAACUGACUCCCGGGCAUAUUUUUUUCGGCCUUUAUGGGCAGAGAACUUUAAUGCCGCUCGGAAUGAGGCCACCCAGUAGUUAGGUGUGAAUUUUCGAGACCUUUGGCACCGUUCUAAGAUGGGUCCUCUCUUCGUAGGCUAAUGCAUUGGCCCUUUUUGACCCGUUUUGGGGCGAAAACAAAAACUGACUCCCGGGCAUAUUUUUUUUCGGCCUUUAUGGGCAGAGAACUUUAAUGCCGCUCGGAAUGAGGCCACCCAGUAGUUAGGUGUGAAUUUUCGAGACCUUUGGCACCGUUCUAAGAUGGGUCCUCUCUUCGUAGGCUAAUGCAUUGGCCCUUUUUGACCCGUUUUGGGGCGAAAACAAAAACUGACUCCCGGGCAUAUUUUUUUCGGCCUUUAUGGGCAGAGAACUUUAAUGCCGCUCAGAAUGAGGCCACCCAGUAGUUAGGUGUGAAUUUUCGAGACCUUUGGCACCGUUCUAAGAUGGGUCCUCUCUUCGUAGGCUAAUGCAUUGGCCCUUUUUGACCCGUUUUGGGGCGAAAACAAAAACUGACUCCCGGGCAUAUUUUUUUUCGGCCUUUAUGGGCAGAGAACUUUAAUGCCGCUCAGAAUGAGGCCACCCAGUAGUUAGGUGUGAAUUUUCGAGACCUUUGGCACCGUUCUAAGAUGGGUCCUCUCUUCGUAGGCUAAUGCAUUGGCCCUUUUUGACCCGUUUUGGGGCGAAAACAAAAACUGACUCCCGGGCAUAUUUUUUUCGGCCUUUAUGGGCAGAGAACUUUAAUGCCGCUCGGAAUGAGGCCACCCAGUAGUUAGGUGUGAAUUUUCGAGACCUUUGGCACCGUUCUAAGAUGGGUCCUCUCUUCGUAGGCUAAUGCAUUGGCCCUUUUUGACCCGUUUUGGGGCGAAAACAAAAACUGACUCCCGGGCAUAUUUUUUUCGGCCUUUAUGGGCAGAGAACUUUAAUGCCGCUCGGAAUGAGGCCACCCAGUAGUUAGGUGUGAAUUUUCGAGACCUUUGGCACCGUUCUAAGAUGGGUCCUCUCUUCGUAGGCUAAUGCAUUGGCCCUUUUUUGACCCGUUUUGGGGCGAAAACAAAAACUGACUCCCGGGCAUAUUUUUUUCGGCCUUUAUGGGCAGAGAACUUUAAUGCCGCUCAGAAUGAGGCCACCCAGUAGUUAGGUGUGAAUUUUCGAGACCUUUGGCACCGUUCUAAGAUGGGUCCUCUCUUCGUAGGCUAAUGCAUUGGCCCUUUUUGACCCGUUUUGGGGCGAAAACAAAAACUGACUCCCGGGCAUAUUUUUUUCGGCCUUUAUGGGCAGAGAACUUUAAUGCCGCUCAGAAUGAGGCCACCCAGUAGUUAGGUGUGAAUUUUCGAGACCUUUGGCACCGUUCUAAGAUGGGUCCUCUCUUCGUAGGCUAAUGCAUUGGCCCUUUUUGACCCGUUUUGGGGCGAAAACAAAAACUGACUCCCGGGCAUAUUUUUUUCGGCCUUUAUGGGCAGAGAACUUUAAUGCCGCUCAGAAUGAGGCCACCCAGUAGUUAGGUGUGAAUUUUCGAGACCUUUGGCACCGUUCUAAGAUGGGUCCUCUCUUCGUAGGCUAAUGCAUUGGCCCUUUUUGACCCGUUUUGGGGCGAAAACAAAAACUGACUCCCGGGCAUAUUUUUUUCGGCCUUUAUGGGCAGAGAACUUUAAUGCCGCUCAGAAUGAGGCCACCCAGUAGUUAGGUGUGAAUUUUCGAGACCUUUGGCACCGUUCUAAGAUGGGUCCUCUCUUCGUAGGCUAAUGCAUUGGCCCUUUUUGACCCGUUUUGGGGCGAAAACAAAAACUGACUCCCGGGCAUAUUUUUUUUCGGCCUUUAUGGGCAGAGAACUUUAAUGCCGCUCAGAAUGAGGCCACCCAGUAGUUAGGUGUGAAUUUUCGAGACCUUUGGCACCGUUCUAAGAUGGGUCCUCUCUUCGUAGGCUAAUGCAUUGGCCCUUUUUGACCCGUUUUGGGGCGAAAACAAAAACUGACUCCCGGGCAUAUUUUUUUCGGCCUUUAUGGGCAGAGAACUUUAAUGCCGCUCAGAAUGAGGCCACCCAGUAGUUAGGUGUGAAUUUUCGAGACCUCUGGCACCGUUCUAAGAUGGGUCCUCUCUUCGUAGGCUAAUGCAUUGGCCCUUUUUGACCCGUUUUGGGGCGAAAACAAAAACUGACUCCCGGGCAUAUUUUUUUCGGCCUUUAUGGGCAGAGAACUUUAAUGCCGCUCAGAAUGAGGCCACCCAGUAGUUAGGUGUGAAUUUUCGAGACCUCUGGCACCGUUCUAAGAUGGGUCCUCUCUUCGUAGGCUAAUGCAUUGGCCCUUUUUGACCCGUUUUGGGGCGAAAACAAAAACUGACUCCCGGGCAUAUUUUUUUCGGCCUUUAUGGGCAGAGAACUUUAAUGCCGCUCAGAAUGAGGCCACCCAGUAGUUAGGUGUGAAUUUUCGAGACCUCUGGCACCGUUCUAAGAUGGGUCCUCUCUUCGUAGGCUAAUGCAUUGGCCCUUUUUGACCCGUUUUGGGGCGAAAACAAAAACUGACUCCCGGGCAUAUUUUUUUCGGCCUUUAUGGGCAGAGAACUUUAAUGCCGCUCAGAAUGAGGCCACCCAGUAGUUAGGUGUGAAUUUUCGAGACCUCUGGCACCGUUCUAAGAUGGGUCCUCUCUUCGUAGGCUAAUGCAUUGGCCCUUUUUGACCCGUUUUGGGGCGAAAACAAAAACUGACUCCCGGGCAUAUUUUUUUCGGCCUUUAUGGGCAGAGAACUUUAAUGCCGCUCAGAAUGAGGCCACCCAGUAGUUAGGUGUGAAUUUUCGAGACCUCUGGCACCGUUCUAAGAUGGGUCCUCUCUUCGUAGGCUAAUGCAUUGGCCCUUUUUGACCCGUUUUGGGGCGAAAACAAAAACUGACUCCCGGGCAUAUUUUUUUCGGCCUUUAUGGGCAGAGAACUUUAAUGCCGCUCAGAAUGAGGCCACCCAGUAGUUAGGUGUGAAUUUUCGAGACCUCUGGCACCGUUCUAAGAUGGGUCCUCUCUUCGUAGGCUAAUGCAUUGGCCCUUUUUGACCCGUUUUGGGGCGAAAACAAAAACUGACUCCCGGGCAUAUUUUUUUCGGCCUUUAUGGGCAGAGAACUUUAAUGCCGCUCAGAAUGAGGCCACCCAGUAGUUAGGUGUGAAUUUUCGAGACCUCUGGCACCGUUCUAAGAUGGGUCCUCUCUUCGUAGGCUAAUGCAUUGGCCCUUUUUGACCCGUUUUGGGGCGAAAACAAAAACUGACUCCCGGGCAUAUUUUUUUCGGCCUUUAUGGGCAGAGAACUUUAAUGCCGCUCAGAAUGAGGCCACCCAGUAGUUAGGUGUGAAUUUUCGAGACCUCUGGCACCGUUCUAAGAUGGGUCCUCUCUUCGUAGGCUAAUGCAUUGGCCCUUUUUGACCCGUUUUGGGGCGAAAACAAAAACUGACUCCCGGGCAUAUUUUUUUCGGCCUUUAUGGGCAGAGAACUUUAAUGCCGCUCAGAAUGAGGCCACCCAGUAGUUAGGUGUGAAUUUUCGAGACCUCUGGCACCGUUCUAAGAUGGGUCCUCUCUUCGUAGGCUAAUGCAUUGGCCCUUUUUGACCCGUUUUGGGGCGAAAACAAAAACUGACUCCCGGGCAUAUUUUUUUCGGCCUUUUAUGGGCAGAGAACUUUAAUGCCGCUCAGAAUGAGGCCACCCAGUAGUUAGGUGUGAAUUUUCGAGACCUCUGGCACCGUUCUAAGAUGGGUCCUCUCUUCGUAGGCUAAUGCAUUGGCCCUUUUUGACCCGUUUUGGGGCGAAAACAAAAACUGACUCCCGGGCAUAUUUUUUUCGGCCUUUAUGGGCAGAGAACUUUAAUGCCGCUCAGAAUGAGGCCACCCAGUAGUUAGGUGUGAAUUUUCGAGACCUCUGGCACCGUUCUAAGAUGGGUCCUCUCUUCGUAGGCUAAUGCAUUGGCCCUUUUUGACCCGUUUUGGGGCGAAAACAAAAACUGACUCCCGGGCAUAUUUUUUUCGGCCUUUAUGGGCAGAGAACUUUAAUGCCGCUCAGAAUGAGGCCACCCAGUAGUUAGGUGUGAAUUUUCGAGACCUCUGGCACCGUUCUAAGAUGGGUCCUCUCUUCGUAGGCUAAUGCAUUGGCCCUUUUUGACCCGUUUUGGGGCGAAAACAAAAACUGACUCCCGGGCAUAUUUUUUUCGGCCUUUAUGGGCAGAGAACUUUAAUGCCGCUCAGAAUGAGGCCACCCAGUAGUUAGGUGUGAAUUUUCGAGACCUCUGGCACCGUUCUAAGAUGGGUCCUCUCUUCGUAGGCUAAUGCAUUGGCCCUUUUUGACCCGUUUUGGGGCGAAAACAAAAACUGACUCCCGGGCAUAUUUUUUUCGGCCUUUAUGGGCAGAGAACUUUAAUGCCGCUCAGAAUGAGGCCACCCAGUAGUUAGGUGUGAAUUUUCGAGACCUCUGGCACCGUUCUAAGAUGGGUCCUCUCUUCGUAGGCUAAUGCAUUGGCCCUUUUUGACCCGUUUUGGGGCGAAAAAAAAAAACUGACUCCCGGGCAUAUUUUUUUCGGCCUUUAUGGGCAGAGAACUUUAAUGCCGCUCAGAAUGAGGCCACCCAGUAGUUAGGUGUGAAUUUUCGAGACCUCUGGCACCGUUCUAAGAUGGGUCCUCUCUUCGUAGGCUAAUGCAUUGGCCCUUUUUGACCCGUUUUGGGGCGAAAACAAAAACUGACUCCCGGGCAUAUUUUUUUCGGCCUUUAUGGGCAGAGAACUUUAAUGCCGCUCAGAAUGAGGCCACCCAGUAGUUAGGUGUGAAUUUUCGAGACCUCUGGCACCGUUCUAAGAUGGGUCCUCUCUUCGUAGGCUAAUGCAUUGGCCCUUUUUGACCCGUUUUGGGGCGAAAACAAAAACUGACUCCCGGGCAUAUUUUUUUCGGCCUUUAUGGGCAGAGAACUUUAAUGCCGCUCAGAAUGAGGCCACCCAGUAGUUAGGUGUGAAUUUUCGAGACCUCUGGCACCGUUCUAAGAUGGGUCCUCUCUUCGUAGGCUAAUGCAUUGGCCCUUUUUGACCCGUUUUGGGGCGAAAACAAAAACUGACUCCCGGGCAUAUUUUUUUCGGCCUUUAUGGGCAGAGAACUUUAAUGCCGCUCAGAAUGAGGCCACCCAGUAGUUAGGUGUGAAUUUUCGAGACCUCUGGCACCGUUCUAAGAUGGGUCCUCUCUUCGUAGGCUAAUGCAUUGGCCCUUUUUGACCCGUUUUGGGGCGAAAACAAAAACUGACUCCCGGGCAUAUUUUUUUCGGCCUUUAUGGGCAGAGAACUUUAAUGCCGCUCAGAAUGAGGCCACCCAGUAGUUAGGUGUGAAUUUUCGAGACCUCUGGCACCGUUCUAAGAUGGGUCCUCUCUUCGUAGGCUAAUGCAUUGGCCCUUUUUGACCCGUUUUGGGGCGAAAACAAAAACUGACUCCCGGGCAUAUUUUUUUCGGCCUUUAUGGGCAGAGAACUUUAAUGCCGCUCAGAAUGAGGCCACCCAGUAGUUAGGUGUGAAUUUUCGAGACCUCUGGCACCGUUCUAAGAUGGGUCCUCUCUUCGUAGGCUAAUGCAUUGGCCCUUUUUGACCCGUUUUGGGGCGAAAACAAAAACUGACUCCCGGGCAUAUUUUUUUCGGCCUUUAUGGGCAGAGAACUUUAAUACCGCUCAGAAUGAGGCCACCCAGUAGUUAGGUGUGAAUUUUCGAGACCUCUGGCACCGUUCUAAGAUGGGUCCUCUCUUCGUAGGCUAAUGCAUUGGCCCUUUUUGACCCGUUUUGGGGCGAAAACAAAAACUGACUCCCGGGCAUAUUUUUUUCGGCCUUUAUGGGCAGAGAACUUUAAUGCCGCUCAGAAUGAGGCCACCCAGUAGUUAGGUGUGAAUUUUCGAGACCUCUGGCACCGUUCUAAGAUGGGUCCUCUCUUCGUAGGCUAAUGCAUUGGCCCUUUUUGACCCGUUUUGGGGCGAAAACAAAAACUGACUCCCGGGCAUAUUUUUUUCGGCCUUUAUGGGCAGAGAACUUUAAUACCGCUCAGAAUGAGGCCACCCAGUAGUUAGGUGUGAAUUUUCGAGACCUCUGGCACCGUUCUAAGAUGGGUCCUCUCUUCGUAGGCUAAUGCAUUGGCCCUUUUUGACCCGUUUUGGGGCGAAAACAAAAACUGACUCCCGGGCAUAUUUUUUUCGGCCUUUAUGGGCAGAGAACUUUAAUACCGCUCAGAAUGAGGCCACCCAGUAGUUAGGUGUGAAUUUUCGAGACCUCUGGCACCGUUCUAAGAUGGGUCCUCUCUUCGUAGGCUAAUGCAUUGGCCCUUUUUGACCCGUUUUGGGGCGAAAACAAAAACUGACUCCCGGGCAUAUUUUUUUCGGCCUUUAUGGGCAGAGAACUUUAAUACCGCUCAGAAUGAGGCCACCCAGUAGUUAGGUGUGAAUUUUCGAGACCUCUGGCACCGUUCUAAGAUGGGUCCUCUCUUCGUAGGCUAAUGCAUUGGCCCUUUUUGACCCGUUUUGGGGCGAAAACAAAAACUGACUCCCGGGCAUAUUUUUUUCGGCCUUUAUGGGCAGAGAACUUUAAUACCGCUCAGAAUGAGGCCACCCAGUAGUUAGGUGUGAAUUUUCGAGACCUCUGGCACCGUUCUAAGAUGGGUCCUCUCUUCGUAGGCUAAUGCAUUGGCCCUUUUUGACCCGUUUUGGGGCGAAAACAAAAACUGACUCCCGGGCAUAUUUUUUUCGGCCUUUAUGGGCAGAGAACUUUAAUGCCGCUCAGAAUGAGGCCACCCAGUAGUUAGGUGUGAAUUUUCGAGACCUCUGGCACCGUUCUAAGAUGGGUCCUCUCUUCGUAGGCUAAUGCAUUGGCCCUUUUUGACCCGUUUUGGGGCGAAAACAAAAACUGACUCCCGGGCAUAUUUUUUUCGGCCUUUAUGGGCAGAGAACUUUAAUACCGCUCAGAAUGAGGCCACCCAGUAGUUAGGUGUGAAUUUUCGAGACCUCUGGCACCGUUCUAAGAUGGGUCCUCUCUUCGUAGGCUAAUGCAUUGGCCCUUUUUGACCCGUUUUGGGGCGAAAACAAAAACUGACUCCCGGGCAUAUUUUUUUCGGCCUUUAUGGGCAGAGAACUUUAAUGCCGCUCAGAAUGAGGCCACCCAGUAGUUAGGUGUGAAUUUUCGAGACCUCUGGCACCGUUCUAAGAUGGGUCCUCUCUUCGUAGGCUAAUGCAUUGGCCCUUUUUGACCCGUUUUGGGGCGAAAACAAAAACUGACUCCCGGGCAUAUUUUUUUCGGCCUUUAUGGGCAGAGAACUUUAAUGCCGCUCAGAAUGAGGCCACCCAGUAGUUAGGUGUGAAUUUUCGAGACCUCUGGCACCGUUCUAAGAUGGGUCCUCUCUUCGUAGGCUAAUGCAUUGGCCCUUUUUGACCCGUUUUGGGGCGAAAACAAAAACUGACUCCCGGGCAUAUUUUUUUCGGCCUUUAUGGGCAGAGAACUUUAAUACCGCUCAGAAUGAGGCCACCCAGUAGUUAGGUGUGAAUUUUCGAGACCUCUGGCACCGUUCUAAGAUGGGUCCUCUCUUCGUAGGCUAAUGCAUUGGCCCUUUUUGACCCGUUUUGGGGCGAAAACAAAAACUGACUCCCGGGCAUAUUUUUUUCGGCCUUUAUGGGCAGAGAACUUUAAUGCCGCUCAGAAUGAGGCCACCCAGUAGUUAGGUGUGAAUUUUCGAGACCUCUGGCACCGUUCUAAGAUGGGUCCUCUCUUCGUAGGCUAAUGCAUUGGCCCUUUUUGACCCGUUUUGGGGCGAAAACAAAAACUGACUCCCGGGCAUAUUUUUUUCGGCCUUUAUGGGCAGAGAACUUUAAUGCCGCUCAGAAUGAGGCCACCCAGUAGUUAGGUGUGAAUUUUCGAGACCUCUGGCACCGUUCUAAGAUGGGUCCUCUCUUCGUAGGCUAAUGCAUUGGCCCUUUUUGACCCGUUUUGGGGCGAAAACAAAAACUGACUCCCGGGCAUAUUUUUUUCGGCCUUUAUGGGCAGAGAACUUUAAUGCCGCUCAGAAUGAGGCCACCCAGUAGUUAGGUGUGAAUUUUCGAGACCUCUGGCACCGUUCUAAGAUGGGUCCUCUCUUCGUAGGCUAAUGCAUUGGCCCUUUUUGACCCGUUUUGGGGCGAAAACAAAAACUGACUCCCGGGCAUAUUUUUUUCGGCCUUUAUGGGCAGAGAACUUUAAUGCCGCUCAGAAUGAGGCCACCCAGUAGUUAGGUGUGAAUUUUCGAGACCUCUGGCACCGUUCUAAGAUGGGUCCUCUCUUCGUAGGCUAAUGCAUUGGCCCUUUUUGACCCGUUUUGGGGCGAAAACAAAAACUGACUCCCGGGCAUAUUUUUUUCGGCCUUUAUGGGCAGAGAACUUUAAUGCCGCUCAGAAUGAGGCCACCCAGUAGUUAGGUGUGAAUUUUCGAGACCUCUGGCACCGUUCUAAGAUGGGUCCUCUCUUCGUAGGCUAAUGCAUUGGCCCUUUUUGACCCGUUUUGGGGCGAAAACAAAAACUGACUCCCGGGCAUAUUUUUUUCGGCCUUUAUGGGCAGAGAACUUUAAUGCCGCUCAGAAUGAGGCCACCCAGUAGUUAGGUGUGAAUUUUCGAGACCUCUGGCACCGUUCUAAGAUGGGUCCUCUCUUCGUAGGCUAAUGCAUUGGCCCUUUUUGACCCGUUUUGGGGCGAAAACAAAAACUGACUCCCGGGCAUAUUUUUUUCGGCCUUUAUGGGCAGAGAACUUUAAUGCCGCUCAGAAUGAGGCCACCCAGUAGUUAGGUGUGAAUUUUCGAGACCUCUGGCACCGUUCUAAGAUGGGUCCUCUCUUCGUAGGCUAAUGCAUUGGCCCUUUUUGACCCGUUUUGGGGCGAAAACAAAAACUGACUCCCGGGCAUAUUUUUUUCGGCCUUUAUGGGCAGAGAACUUUAAUGCCGCUCAGAAUGAGGCCACCCAGUAGUUAGGUGUGAAUUUUCGAGACCUCUGGCACCGUUCUAAGAUGGGUCCUCUCUUCGUAGGCUAAUGCAUUGGCCCUUUUUGACCCGUUUUGGGGCGAAAACAAAAACUGACUCCCGGGCAUAUUUUUUUCGGCCUUUAUGGGCAGAGAACUUUAAUGCCGCUCAGAAUGAGGCCACCCAGUAGUUAGGUGUGAAUUUUCGAGACCUCUGGCACCGUUCUAAGAUGGGUCCUCUCUUCGUAGGCUAAUGCAUUGGCCCUUUUUGACCCGUUUUGGGGCGAAAACAAAAACUGACUCCCGGGCAUAUUUUUUUCGGCCUUUAUGGGCAGAGAACUUUAAUGCCGCUCAGAAUGAGGCCACCCAGUAGUUAGGUGUGAAUUUUCGAGACCUCUGGCACCGUUCUAAGAUGGGUCCUCUCUUCGUAGGCUAAUGCAUUGGCCCUUUUUGACCCGUUUUGGGGCGAAAACAAAAACUGACUCCCGGGCAUAUUUUUUUCGGCCUUUAUGGGCAGAGAACUUUAAUGCCGCUCAGAAUGAGGCCACCCAGUAGUUAGGUGUGAAUUUUCGAGACCUCUGGCACCGUUCUAAGAUGGGUCCUCUCUUCGUAGGCUAAUGCAUUGGCCCUUUUUGACCCGUUUUGGGGCGAAAACAAAAACUGACUCCCGGGCAUAUUUUUUUCGGCCUUUAUGGGCAGAGAACUUUAAUACCGCUCAGAAUGAGGCCACCCAGUAGUUAGGUGUGAAUUUUCGAGACCUCUGGCACCGUUCUAAGAUGGGUCCUCUCUUCGUAGGCUAAUGCAUUGGCCCUUUUUGACCCGUUUUGGGGCGAAAACAAAAACUGACUCCCGGGCAUAUUUUUUUCGGCCUUUAUGGGCAGAGAACUUUAAUGCCGCUCAGAAUGAGGCCACCCAGUAGUUAGGUGUGAAUUUUCGAGACCUCUGGCACCGUUCUAAGAUGGGUCCUCUCUUCGUAGGCUAAUGCAUUGGCCCUUUUUGACCCGUUUUGGGGCGAAAACAAAAACUGACUCCCGGGCAUAUUUUUUUCGGCCUUUAUGGGCAGAGAACUUUAAUACCGCUCAGAAUGAGGCCACCCAGUAGUUAGGUGUGAAUUUUCGAGACCUCUGGCACCGUUCUAAGAUGGGUCCUCUCUUCGUAGGCUAAUGCAUUGGCCCUUUUUGACCCGUUUUGGGGCGAAAACAAAAACUGACUCCCGGGCAUAUUUUUUUCGGCCUUUAUGGGCAGAGAACUUUAAUGCCGCUCAGAAUGAGGCCACCCAGUAGUUAGGUGUGAAUUUUCGAGACCUCUGGCACCGUUCUAAGAUGGGUCCUCUCUUCGUAGGCUAAUGCAUUGGCCCUUUUUGACCCGUUUUGGGGCGAAAACAAAAACUGACUCCCGGGCAUAUUUUUUUCGGCCUUUAUGGGCAGAGAACUUUAAUGCCGCUCAGAAUGAGGCCACCCAGUAGUUAGGUGUGAAUUUUCGAGACCUCUGGCACCGUUCUAAGAUGGGUCCUCUCUUCGUAGGGCUAAUGCAUUGGCCCUUUUUGACCCGUUUUGGGGCGAAAACAAAAACUGACUCCCGGGCAUAUUUUUUUCGGCCUUUAUGGGCAGAGAACUUUAAUACCGCUCAGAAUGAGGCCACCCAGUAGUUAGGUGUGAAUUUUCGAGACCUCUGGCACCGUUCUAAGAUGGGUCCUCUCUUCGUAGGCUAAUGCAUUGGCCCUUUUUGACCCGUUUUGGGGCGAAAACAAAAACUGACUCCCGGGCAUAUUUUUUUCGGCCUUUAUGGGCAGAGAACUUUAAUGCCGCUCAGAAUGAGGCCACCCAGUAGUUAGGUGUGAAUUUUCGAGACCUCUGGCACCGUUCUAAGAUGGGUCCUCUCUUCGUAGGCUAAUGCAUUGGCCCUUUUUGACCCGUUUUGGGGCGAAAACCAAAAACUGACUCCCGGGCAUAUUUUUUUCGGCCUUUAUGGGCAGAGAACUUUAAUACCGCUCAGAAUGAGGCCACCACCCAGUAGUUAGGUGUGAAUUUUCGAGACCUCUGGCACCGUUCUAAGAUGGGUCCUCUCUUCGUAGGCUAAUGCAUUGGCCCUUUUUGACCCGUUUUGGGGCGAAAACAAAAACUGACUCCCGGGCAUAUUUUUUUCGGCCUUUAUGGGCAGAGAAACUUUAAUGCCGCUCAGAAUGAGGCCACCCAGUAGUUAGGUGUGAAUUUUCGAGACCUCUGGCACCGUUCUAAGAUGGGUCCUCUCUUCGUAGGCUAAUGCAUUGGCCCUUUUUGACCCGUUUUGGGGCGAAAACAAAAACUGACUCCCGGGCAUAUUUUUUUCGGCCUUUAUGGGCAGAGAACUUUAAUACCGCUCAGAAUGAGGCCACCCAGUAGUUAGGUGUGAAUUUUCGAGACCUCUGGCACCGUUCUAAGAUGGGUCCUCUCUUCGUAGGCUAAUGCAUUGGCCCUUUUUGACCCGUUUUGGGGCGAAAACAAAAACUGACUCCCGGGCAUAUUUUUUUCGGCCUUUAUGGGCAAAGAACUUUAAUGCCGCUCAGAAUGAGGCCACCCAGUAGUUAGGUGUGAAUUUUCGAGACCUCUGGCACCGUUCUAAGAUGGGUCCUCUCUUCGUAGGCUAAUGCAUUGGCCCUUUUUGACCCGUUUUGGGGCGAAAAACAAAAACUGACUCCCGGGCAUAUUUUUUUCGGCCUUUAUGGGCAAAGAACUUUAAUGCCGCUCAGAAUGAGGCCACCCAGUAGUUAGGUGUGAAUUUUCGAGACCUCUGGCACCGUUCUAAGAUGGGUCCUCUCUUCGUAGGCUAAUGCAUUGGCCCUUUUUGACCCGUUUUGGGGCGAAAACAAAAAACUGACUCCCGGGCAUAUUUUUUUCGGCCUUUAUGGGCAGAGAACUUUAAUGCCGCUCAGAAUGAGGCCACCCAGUAGUUAGGUGUGAAUUUUCGAGACCUCUGGCACCGUUCUAAGAUGGGUCCUCUCUUCGUAGGCUAAUGCAUUGGCCCUUUUUGACCCGUUUUGGGGCGAAAACAAAAACUGACUCCCGGGCAUAUUUUUUUCGGCCUUUAUGGGCAGAGAACUUUAAUACCGCUCAGAAUGAGGCCACCCAGUAGUUAGGUGUGAAUUUUCGAGACCUCUGGCACCGUUCUAAGAUGGGUCCUCUCUUCGUAGGCUAAUGCAUUGGCCCUUUUUGACCCGUUUUGGGGCGAAAACAAAAACUGACUCCCGGGCAUAUUUUUUUCGGCCUUUAUGGGCAGAGAACUUUAAUACCGCUCAGAAUGAGGCCACCCAGUAGUUAGGUGUGAAUUUUCGAGACCCUCUGGCACCGUUCUAAGAUGGGUCCUCUCUUCGUAGGCUAAUGCAUUGGCCCUUUUUGACCCGUUUUGGGGCGAAAACAAAAACUGACUCCCGGGCAUAUUUUUUUCGGCCUUUAUGGGCAGAGAACUUUAAUACCGCUCAGAAUGAGGCCACCCAGUAGUUAGGUGUGAAUUUUCGAGACCUCUUGGCACCGUUCUAAGAUGGGUCCUCUCUUCGUAGGCUAAUGCAUUGGCCCUUUUUGACCCGUUUUGGGGCGAAAACAAAAACUGACUCCCGGGCAUAUUUUUUUCGGCCUUUAUGGGCAGAGAACUUUAAUGCCGCUCAGAAUGAGGCCACCCAGUAGUUAGGUGUGAAUUUUCGAGACCUCUGGCACCGUUCUAAGAUGGGUCCUCUCUUCGUAGGCUAAUGCAUUGGCCCUUUUUGACCCGUUUUGGGGCGAAAACAAAAACUGACUCCCGGGCAUAUUUUUUUCGGCCUUUAUGGGCAGAGAACUUUAAUACCGCUCAAAAAUGAGGCCACCCAGUAGUUAGGUGUGAAUUUUCGAGACCUCUGGCACCGUUCUAAGAUGGGUCCUCUCUUCGUAGGCUAAUGCAUUGGCCCUUUUUGACCCGUUUUGGGGCGAAAACAAAAACUGACUCCCGGGCAUAUUUUUUUCGGCCUUUAUGGGCAGAGAACUUUAAUACCGCUCAGAAUGAGGCCACCCAGUAGUUAGGUGUGAAUUUUCGAGACCUUUGGCACCGUUCUAAGAUGGGUCCUCUCUUCGUAGGCUAAUGCAUUGGCCCUUUUUGACCCGUUUUGGGGCGAAAACAAAAACUGACUCCCGGGCAUAUUUUUUUCGGCCUUUAUGGGCAGAGAACUUUAAUGCCGCUCAGAAUGAGGCCACCCAGUAGUUAGGUGUGAAUUUUCGAGACCUCUGGCACCGUUCUAAGAUGGGUCCUCUCUUCGUAGGCUAAUGCAUUGGCCCUUUUUGACCCGUUUUGGGGCGAAAACAAAAACUGACUCCCGGGCAUAUUUUUUUCGGCCUUUAUGGGCAGAGAACUUUAAUGCCGCUCAGAAUGAGGCCACCCAGUAGUUAGGUGUGAAUUUUCGAGACCUCUGGCACCGUUCUAAGAUGGGUCCUCUCUUCGUAGGCUAAUGCAUUGGCCCUUUUUGACCCGUUUUGGGGCGAAAACAAAAACUGACUCCCGGGCAUAUUUUUUUCGGCCUUUAUGGGCAGAGAACUUUAAUACCGCUCAGAAUGAGGCCACCCAGUAGUUAGGUGUGAAUUUUCGAGACCUCUGGCACCGUUCUAAGAUGGGUCCUCUCUUCGUAGGCUAAUGCAUUGGCCCUUUUUGACCCGUUUUGGGGCGAAAACAAAAACUGACUCCCGGGCAUAUUUUUUUCGGCCUUUAUGGGCAGAGAACUUUAAUACCGCUCAGAAUGAGGCCACCCAGUAGUUAGGUGUGAAUUUUCGAGACCUCUGGCACCGUUCUAAGAUGGGUCCUCUCUUCGUAGGCUAAUGCAUUGGCCCUUUUUGACCCGUUUUGGGGCGAAAACAAAAACUGACUCCCGGGCAUAUUUUUUUCGGCCUUUAUGGGCAGAGAACUUUAAUACCGCUCAGAAUGAGGCCACCCAGUAGUUAGGUGUGAAUUUUCGAGACCUUCUGGCACCGUUCUAAGAUGGGUCCUCUCUUCGUAGGCUAAUGCAUUGGCCCUUUUUGACCCGUUUUGGGGCGAAAACAAAAACUGACUCCCGGGCAUAUUUUUUUCGGCCUUUAUGGGCAGAGAACUUUAAUGCCGCUCAGAAUGAGGCCACCCAGUAGUUAGGUGUGAAUUUUCGAGACCUCUGGCACCGUUCUAAGAUGGGUCCUCUCUUCGUAGGCUAAUGCAUUGGCCCUUUUUGACCCGUUUUGGGGCGAAAACAAAAACUGACUCCCGGGCAUAUUUUUUUCGGCCUUUAUGGGCAGAGAACUUUAAUACCGCUCAGAAUGAGGCCACCCAGUAGUUAGGUGUGAAUUUUCGAGACCUCUGGCACCGUUCUAAGAUGGGUCCUCUCUUCGUAGGCUAAUGCAUUGGCCCUUUUUGACCCGUUUUGGGGCGAAAACAAAAACUGACUCCCGGGCAUAUUUUUUUCGGCCUUUAUGGGCAGAGAACUUUAAUACCGCUCAGAAUGAGGCCACCCAGUAGUUAGGUGUGAAUUUUCGAGACCUCUGGCACCGUUCUAAGAUGGGUCCUCUCUUCGUAGGCUAAUGCAUUGGCCCUUUUUGACCCGUUUUGGGGCGAAAACAAAAACUGACUCCCGGGCAUAUUUUUUUCGGCCUUUAUGGGCAGAGAACUUUAAUGCCGCUCAGAAUGAGGCCACCCAGUAGUUAGGUGUGAAUUUUCGAGACCUCUGGCACCGUUCUAAGAUGGGUCCUCUCUUCGUAGGCUAAUGCAUUGGCCCUUUUUGACCCGUUUUGGGGCGAAAACAAAAACUGACUCCCGGGCAUAUUUUUUUCGGCCUUUAUGGGCAGAGAACUUUAAUACCGCUCAGAAAUGAGGCCACCCAGUAGUUAGGUGUGAAUUUUCGAGACCUCUGGCACCGUUCUAAGAUGGGUCCUCUCUUCGUAGGCUAAUGCAUUGGCCCUUUUUGACCCGUUUUGGGGCGAAAACAAAAACUGACUCCCGGGCAUAUUUUUUUCGGCCUUUAUGGGCAGAGAACUUUAAUACCGCUCAGAAUGAGGCCACCCAGUAGUUAGGUGUGAAUUUUCGAGACCUCUCGGCACCGUUCUAAGAUGGGUCCUCUCUUCGUAGGCUAAUGCAUUGGCCCUUUUUGACCCGUUUUGGGGCGAAAACAAAAACUGACUCCCGGGCAUAUUUUUUUCGGCCUUUAUGGGCAGAGAACUUUAAUGCCGCUCAGAAAUGAGGCCACCCAGUAGUUAGGUGUGAAUUUUCGAGACCUCUGGCACCGUUCUAAGAUGGGUCCUCUCUUCGUAGGCUAAUGCAUUGGCCCUUUUUGACCCGUUUUGGGGCGAAAACAAAAACUGACUCCCGGGCAUAUUUUUUUCGGCCUUUAUGGGCAGAGAACUUUAAUACCGCUCAGAAUGAGGCCACCCAGUAGUUAGGUGUGAAUUUUCGAGACCUCUGGCACCGUUCUAAGAUGGGUCCUCUCUUCGUAGGCUAAUGCAUUGGCCCUUUUUGACCCGUUUUGGGGCGAAAACAAAAACUGACUCCCGGGCAUAUUUUUUUCGGCCUUUAUGGGCAGAGAACUUUAAUACCGCUCAGAAUGAGGCCACCCAGUAGUUAGGUGUGAAUUUUCGAGACCUCUUGGCACCGUUCUAAGAUGGGUCCUCUCUUCGUAGGCUAAUGCAUUGGCCCUUUUUGACCCGUUUUGGGGCGAAAACAAAAACUGACUCCCGGGCAUAUUUUUUUCGGCCUUUAUGGGCAGAGAACUUUAAUGCCGCUCAGAAUGAGGCCACCCAGUAGUUAGGUGUGAAUUUUCGAGACCUCUGGCACCGUUCUAAGAUGGGUCCUCUCUUCGUAGGCUAAUGCAUUGGCCCUUUUUGACCCGUUUUGGGGCGAAAACAAAAACUGACUCCCGGGCAUAUUUUUUUCGGCCUUUAUGGGCAGAGAACUUUAAUGCCGCUCAGAAUGAGGCCACCCAGUAGUUAGGUGUGAAUUUUCGAGACCUUUGGCACCGUUCUAAGAUGGGUCCUCUCUUCGUAGGCUAAUGCAUUGGCCCUUUUUGACCCGUUUUGGGGCGAAAACAAAAACUGACUCCCGGGCAUAUUUUUUUCGGCCUUUAUGGGCAGAGAACUUUAAUACCGCUCAGAAUGAGGCCACCCAGUAGUUAGGUGUGAAUUUUCGAGACCUCUGGCACCGUUCUAAGAUGGGUCCUCUCUUCGUAGGCUAAUGCAUUGGCCCUUUUUGACCCGUUUUGGGGCGAAAACAAAAACUGACUCCCGGGCAUAUUUUUUUCGGCCUUUAUGGGCAGAGAACUUUAAUGCCGCUCAGAAUGAGGCCACCCAGUAGUUAGGUGUGAAUUUUCGAGACCUCUGGCACCGUUCUAAGAUGGGUCCUCUCUUCGUAGGCUAAUGCAUUGGCCCUUUUUGACCCGUUUUGGGGCGAAAACAAAAACUGACUCCCGGGCAUAUUUUUUUCGGCCUUUAUGGGCAGAGAACUUUAAUACCGCUCAGAAUGAGGCCACCCAGUAGUUAGGUGUGAAUUUUCGAGACCUCUGGCACCGUUCUAAGAUGGGUCCUCUCUUCGUAGGCUAAUGCAUUGGCCCUUUUUGACCCGUUUUGGGGCGAAAACAAAAACUGACUCCCGGGCAUAUUUUUUUCGGCCUUUAUGGGCAGAGAACUCUUAAUAGCCGCUCAGAAAUGGCCAGGCCACCCAGUAGUUAGGUGUGAAUUUUCGAGACCUCUGGCACCGUUCUAAGAUGGGUCCUCUCUUCGUAGGCUAAUGCAUUGGCCCUUUUUGACCCGUUUUGGGGCGAAAACAAAAACUGACUCCCGGGCAUAUUUUUUUCGGCCUUUAUGGGCAGAGAACUUUAAUGCCGCUCAGAAUGAGGCCACCCAGUAGUUAGGUGUGAAUUUUCGAGACCUCUGGCACCGUUCUAAGAUGGGUCCUCUCUUCGUAGGCUAAUGCAUUGGCCCUUUUUGACCCGUUUUGGGGCGAAAACAAAAACUGACUCCCGGGCAUAUUUUUUUCGGCCUUUAUGGGCAGAGAACUUUAAUGCCGCUCAGAAUGAGGCCACCCAGUAGUUAGGUGUGAAUUUUCGAGACCUUUGGCACCGUUCUAAGAUGGGUCCUCUCUUCGUAGGCUAAUGCAUUGGCCCUUUUUGACCCGUUUUGGGGCGAAAACAAAAACUGACUCCCGGGCAUAUUUUUUUCGGCCUUUAUGGGCAGAGAACUUUAAUGCCGCUCAGAAUGAGGCCACCCAGUAGUUAGGUGUGAAUUUUCGAGACCUCUGGCACCGUUCUAAGAUGGGUCCUCUCUUCGUAGGCUAAUGCAUUGGCCCUUUUUGACCCGUUUUGGGGCGAAAACAAAAACUGACUCCCGGGCAUAUUUUUUUCGGCCUUUAUGGGCAGAGAACUUUAAUACCGCUCAGAAUGAGGCCACCCAGUAGUUAGGUGUGAAUUUUCGAGACCUUUGGCACCGUUCUAAGAUGGGUCCUCUCUUCGUAGGCUAAUGCAUUGGCCCUUUUUGACCCGUUUUGGGGCGAAAACAAAAACUGACUCCCGGGCAUAUUUUUUUCGGCCUUUAUGGGCAGAGAACUUUAAUACCGCUCAGAAUGAGGCCACCCAGUAGUUAGGUGUGAAUUUUCGAGACCUCUGGCACCGUUCUAAGAUGGGUCCUCUCUUCGUAGGCUAAUGCAUUGGCCCUUUUUGACCCGUUUUGGGGCGAAAACAAAAACUGACUCCCGGGCAUAUUUUUUUCGGCCUUUAUGGGCAGAGAACUUUAAUGCCGCUCAGAAUGAGGCCACCCAGUAGUUAGGUGUGAAUUUUCGAGACCUUUGGCCACCGUUCUAAGAUGGGUCCUCUCUUCGUAGGCUAAUGCAUUGGCCCUUUUUGACCCGUUUUGGGGCGAAAACAAAAACUGACUCCCGGGCAUAUUUUUUUCGGCCUUUAUGGGCAGAGAACUUU